UACGUAGGUGGCAAGCGUUGUCCGGAUUUACUGGGCGUAAAGAGCGCGCAGGCGGUCGUUCAAGUCGCGUGUGAAAGCCCCCGGCUCAACUGGGGAGGGUCACGCGAUACUGAUCGACUCGAAGGCAGGAGAGGGAAGUGGAAUUCCCGGUGUAGUGGUGAAAUGCGUAGAUAUCGGGAGGAACACCAGUGGCGAAGGCGGCAUCCUGGACUGGUCCUGACGCUCAGGAGCGAAAGCGUGGGGAGCGAUCCGG
rnacentral:rRNA from 1 species